UACGGAGGGUGCGAGCGUUGUUCGGAAUCACUGGGCGUAAAGCGCGUGUAGGCGGCCCAUUAAGUCUGAUGUGAAAGCCCGGGGCUCACCCCCGGAAGUGCAUUGGAAACUGAUGGACUCGAGUCCCGGAGAGGAGAGUGGAAUUCCUGGUGUAGCGGUGAAAUGCGUAGAUAUCAGGAGGAACACCGGUGGCGAAGGCGGAUCUCUGGGCCAUUACUGACGCUGAGGAGCGAAAGCGUGGGGAGCGAACAGG
rnacentral:rRNA from 1 species